rnacentral:rRNA from 1 species
GGUUGAGCUCGCGUCUGAUUAGCUAGUUGGUGAGGUAAUGGCUCACCAAGGCUUCGAUCAGUAGCUGGUCUGAGAGGAUGAUCAGCCACACUGGGACUGAGACACGGCCCAGACUCCUACGGGAGGCAGCAGUGGGGAAUUUUCCGCAAUGGGCGAAAGCCUGACGGAGCAACGCCGCGUGAGGGACGAAGGCCUCUGGGCUGUAAACCUCUUUUCUCAAGGAAGAAGAUAUGACGGUACUUGAGGAAUAAGCCACGGCUAAUUCCGUGCCAGCAGCCGCGGUAAUACGGGAGUGGCAAGCGUUAUCCGGAAUUAUUGGGCGUAAAGCGUCCGCAGGCGGCUUUUCAAGUCUGCUGUUAAAGCGUGGAGCUUAACUCCAUCAUGGCAGUGGAAACUGAAAGGCUUGAGUAUGGUAGGGGCAGAGGGAAUUCCCGGUGUAGCGGUGAAAUGCGUAGAUAUCGGGAAGAACACCAGUGGCGAAGGCGCUCUGCUGGGCCAUUACUGACGCUCAUGGACGAAAGCCAGGGGAGCGAAAGGGAUUAGAUACCCCUGUAGUCCUGGCCGUAAACGAUGAACACUAGGUGUCGGGGGAAUCGACCCCUUCGGUGUCGUAGCUAACGCGUUAAGUGUUCCGCCUGGGGAGUACGCACGCAAGUGUGAAACUCAAAGGAAUUGACGGGGGCCCGCACAAGCGGUGGAGUAUGUGGUUUAUUUCGAUGCAACGCGAGGAACCUUACCAGGGUUUGACAUCCUGCGAACCUCUUAGAAAUUUGAGGGUGCCUUCGGGAAUGCAGUGACAGGUGGUGCAUGGCUGUCGUCAGCUCGUGUCGUGAGAUGUUGGGUUAAGUCCCGCAACGAGCGCAACCCACGUUUUUAGUUGCCAGCAUUUAGUUGGGCACUCUAGAAAGACCGCCGGUGAUAAACCGGAGGAAGGUGUGGAUGACGUCAAGUCAUCAUGCCCCUUACACCCUGGGCUACACACGUACUACAAUGCUACGGACAAAGGUCAGCAAACUCGCGAGAGCUAGCAAAUCCCAUAAACCGUGGCUCAGUUCAGAUCGUAGGCUGCAACUCGCCUACGUGAAGUAGGAAUCGCUAGUAAUCGCAGGUCAGCAUACUGCGGUGAAUACGUUCCCGGGCCUUGUACACACCGCCCGUCACACCAUGGAAGUUGGCCAUGCCCGAAGUCGUUACUCCAACCCUUGUGGAGGAGGACGCCGAAGGUGGGGCUAAUGACUGGGGUGAAGUCGUAACAAGGUAACCGUA